rnacentral:tRNA from 1 species
AUGGCUGAGCCGUAAAGCGCUUGGCUUCUGAACCGGGGGUCCCAGGUUUGAAUCCUGGU